rnacentral:lncRNA from 1 species
CAAGUUUAAAAAUUCUUUAUUUGAAGUUUAGACAAAGAACAAGUAUUGCAUCAUAAAGACUUGCUUAAAAGCAUAUCAUAGUCUGCUGUCAUUGUUUCUUUAUGUGUUGAAAACAAAACAAAACAAAAAAUUUAAGGGAGAAAAUGGUACAUCUUUCCUCCAUAUUUUAACCCAUUCUUAACCGAGCACCGAUACAACCUUACAAAGAAAGUCCUGGUGAAACGACAUUGAACUGUCUGCGAUGGUCCUGCCGGGCAAGACGCCAAGCCUCCAGGUCUGCUUGUUGACUAACGGUCAGCAGCAUCACUGGGGGCAAGCAGCACUGUUGCUGACCUUGGAAACGGUCAACUAUGCUUUAUUUACUCCUUGGUUCCCCAUUUAAUAUAAUUAAAAGCCUUUUAAUGUGCUGAGUCUCUAAGGCUUCAAGGUAGCAAACCACUAUGUUGAGUAUGGUGCCCACUUUUGACAGUGACUAGCCAUGACCUGAC